ACACCGGCAGCUCUAGUGGUAACAAUUUUUAUUGGGCCUAAAGCGUCCGUAGCCGGUUUAAUAAGUCUCUGGUGAAAUCCUGCAGCUUAACUGUGGGAAUUGCUGGAGAUACUAUUAGACUUGAGACCGGGAGAGGUUAGAGGUACUCUCAGGGUAGAGGUGAAAUUCUGUAAUCCUGGGAGGACCGCCUGUUGCGAAGGCGUCUAACUGGAACGGUUCUGACGGUGAGGGACGAAAGUUAGGGGCGCGAACCGGAUUAGAUACCCGGGUAGUCCUAACUGUAAACGAUGCGGACUUGGUGUUGGGGUGGCUUUGAGCUGCUUCAGUGCCGAAGGGAAGCUGUUAAGUCCGCCGCCUGGGAAGUACGGUCGCAAGACUGAAACUUAAAUGAAUUGGCGGGG
rnacentral:rRNA from 1 species